rnacentral:lncRNA from 1 species
AUCACGUCCAGCCCCUUAGCGAUGGCUCUCUCCUGGUCUGAGAAGACAGCAUCACAAGGCGUGGAAAAGCCCAGCUGUCUAGAUUUGAAAUACGGCUCCUCUGCUUCUGGGUGAUAAAACUUGAAGGAUACAGAGAGGUAGAAAAAGAAGGGAAAGGAAAAGCCAUCCAAUUACAUCUAAGUGAAGAGUCCUGAGUUGUGAUUCCCGCAUUUCCUUGGUUUGGUUUCCUGCACACAAGCACAAGCCUGGUUAGCGGAAAGGCACUUCUGGAGUCCCUGUGGGUUAUUGGGAAUCCCUGCAGGUCUCCUUUCUACUCUCAUUGCUGCUGAUUUCACCAUCACCAACACCAAGUCUCCCUACCCAAGGUUUCUCAGCUGAAGAUGUGUUUUCCUCUGCUAAAGCAGGCUCAUGGAGAUAAGUGCGCCCACCAGGGCAGAAGAGGGUGGAGCUAGCCUACUUCCUUGUACAGCCCACAGAAGCCCACCGGAGCUCCAGCUGUCCCCGGGCUGGGUGAGGCCGCUCUUCAUGUCACACCCCACCGAGUCUGUCUCCUUUGCUGCUGGGCCUGGCACAGAGCUGUGCCCCACGAACGCUGUGCACCCCUCUGGCUGGAAAUGCGGGGUCGGUGAUGGCUGGCAAAGGCAUAAGGCCAGGAGCGCACGUCGCAGGUGGCAGAGUUAGAGGGGCCGGGUUCCCUCUUCCCUGGGUAUUUCCUUUCUCCCAGACCCAGCCCGCUCCGGAGAGGUGAGCACUGGGCCCAGUGCUCCUGCCUCCCCUCUGGCCUCUCCAGGACUUGUUUUCUUCUCUGUGCCUCAGCCCUAUCCCAGAG